ANNNNNNCNNUGCANNUCNAGUAUAGCAUUAUACAGCGAAACUGCGAAUGGCUCAUUAUAUAAGUUAUCGUUUAUUUGAUAGUACCUUACUACUUGGAUAACCGUGGUAAUUCUAGAGCUAAUACAUGCUAAAAAUCCCGACUUCGGAAGGGAUGUAUUUAUUAGAUUAAAAACCAAUGCCCUUCGGGGCUCCUUGGUGAUUCAUGAUAACUUCUCGAAUCGCAUGGCCUUGUGCCGGCGAUGGUUCAUUCAAAUUUCUUCCCUAUCAACUUUCGAUGUUUGGGUAUUGGCCAAACAUGGUUGCAACGGGUAACGGAGGGUUAGGGCUCGACCCCGGAGAAGGAGCCUGAGAAACGGCUACUACAUCCAAGGAAGGCAGCAGGCGCGCAAAUUACCCAAUCCCGACACGGGGAGGUAGUGACAAUAAAUACUGAUACAGGGCUCUUUAGGGUCUUGUAAUUGGAAUGAGUACAAUUUAAAUCUCUUAACGAGGAACAAUUGGAGGGCAAGUCUGGUGCCAGCAGCCGCGGUAAUUCCAGCUCCAAUAGCGUAUAUUAAAGUUGUUGUGGUUAAAAAGCUCGUAGUUGAACCUUGGGCCUGGCUGGCCGGUCCGCCUCACCGCGUGUACUGGUCCGGCCGGGCCUUUCCCUCUGUGGAACCUCAUGCCCUUCACUGGGUGUGGCGGGGAAACAGGACUUUUACUUUGAAAAAAUUAGAGUGCUCCAGGCAGGCCUAUGCUCGAAUACAUUAGCAUGGAAUAAUAGAAUAGGACGUGUGGUUCUAUUUUGUUGGUUUCUAGGACCGCCGUAAUGAUUAAUAGGGACAGUCGGGGGCAUCAGUAUUCAAUUGUCAGAGGUGAAAUUCUUGGAUUUAUUGAAGACUAACUACUGCGAAAGCAUUUGCCAAGGAUGUUUUCAUUAAUCAGGAACGAAAGUUAGGGGAUCGAAGACGAUCAGAUACCGUCGUAGUCUUAACCAUAAACUAUGCCGACUAGGGAUCGGACGGUGUUAUUUUUUGACCCGUUCGGCACCUUACGAGAAAUCAAAGUGCUUGGCUCCA
rnacentral:rRNA from 1 species